UACGGAGGAGGCAAGCGUUAUCCGGAAUUAUUGGGCGUAAAGCGUCCGUAGGUGGGUUAUCAAGUCAGCUGUUAAAUAGUGAAGCUUAACUUCAUAAGGGCAGUUGAAACUGGUAGUCUAGAGUGCGGUAGGGGUAGAGGGAAUUUCCAGUGUAGCGGUGAAAUGCGUAGAUAUUGGAAAGAACACCGGUGGCGAAAGCGCUCUACUGGGCCUGCACUGACACUGAGGGACGAAAGCUAGGGGAGCGAAAGGG
rnacentral:rRNA from 1 species